AAAAUUUUAGGUUAAUAAAACCUUUAACCUUCAAAGUUAAGAAUUAAAUGGAUAAUUUAAAAUUUUA
rnacentral:tRNA from 1 species